rnacentral:rRNA from 1 species
CCUACGGGAGGCAGCAGUGGGGAAUAUUGCGCAAUGGGCGAAAGCCUGACGCAGCGACGCCGCGUGAGGGAUGAAGGUCUUCGGAUCGUAAACCUCUGUCAGCAGGGAAGAACGGUCACUGUGCUAAUCAGCAGUGAAUUGACGGUACCUGCAAAGGAAGCACCGGCUAACCCCGUGCCAGCAGCCGCGGUAGUACGGAGGGUGCGAGCGUUAAUCGGAAUUACGGGGCGAAAGGCGCUCGUAGGCGGUAUGUCAAGUCAAGGGUGAAAUCCCCGCGCUCAACGUGGGACUGCCUUUGAAACUGGCAGACUGGAGUGUGUGAGAGGAUGGUGGAAUUCCAGGUGUAGGAGUGAAAUCCGUAGAUAUCUGGAGGAACAUCAGUGGCGAAGGCGACUAUCUGGCACAUAACUGACGCUGAGGAGCGAAAGCGUGGGUAGCAAACAGGAUUAGAUACCCCUGUAGUC